rnacentral:rRNA from 1 species
CCUACGGGAGGCAGCAGUGGGGAAUAUUGGGCAAUGGGCGCAAGCCUGACCCAGCAACGCCGCGUGAAGGAAGAAGGCUUUCGGGUUGUAAACUUCUUUUGACAGGGAAGAGUAGAAGACGGUACCUGUCGAAUAAGCCACGGCUAACUACGUGCCAGCAGCCGCGGUAAUACGUAGGUGGCAAGCGUUGUCCGGAUUUACUGGGUGUAAAGGGCGUGUAGCCGGGUUGACAAGUCAGAUGUGAAAUCCUGCGGCUUAACCGCAGAACUGCAUUUGAAACUGUUGAUCUUGAGUACUGGAGAGGCAGACGGAAUUCCUAGUGUAGCGGUGAAAUGCGUAGAUAUUAGGAGGAACACCAGUGGCGAAGGCAGUCUGCUGAACAGCAACUGACGGUGAGGCGCGAAAGCGUGGGGAGCAAACAGGAUUAGAUACCCGAGUAGUC